CCUACGGGGGGCAGCAGUGAGGAAUAUUGGUCAAUGGGCGGGAGCCUGAACCAGCCAAGCCGCGUGAAGGAAGAAGGCGCCAGGCGUCGUAAACUUCUUUUGUCGGGGAACAAAGGGCGCCACGCGUGGCGUUGUGAGUGUACCCGAAGAAAAAGCAUCGGCUAAAUCCGUGCCAGCAGCCGCGGUAAUACGGAGGAUGCGAGCGUUAGCCGGAUUUAUUGGGUUUAAAGGGUGCGUAGGCGGUCCGGAAAGUCAGUGGUAAAAGCCUGGGGCUCAACCCCGGCGGGGCCGUUGAAACUGUCGGACUAGAGAGGAGUAGAGGUAGGCGGAAUGCGCGGUGUAGCGGUGAAAUGCAUAGAUAUCGCGCAGAACUCCGAUUGCGAAGGCAGCUUACCGGCGUCCGACUGACGCUGAUGCACGAAAGCGUGGGUAUCAAACAGGAUUAGAUACCCCAGUAGUC
rnacentral:rRNA from 1 species